ACGUCCAAGCUUUAUUUCUUUCUCUUAUAUAUGUCCAAGAGUUGGACAUUAGAAUAUAUACACACCCAAGAGUUGGGCACACCCAGGAAAGGAAAAGAAAAAGAGGAGGAACUAGAUUUUUUUGAGAAGAAAAUUAAGAAAGGUUGUGUGCAGAUUUCUUUGAGAAAGAAAUUAAGAAAAGGGGAGGAUUUUUAUGAGAAGAAAAUCAAGAUGGCUAAGA
rnacentral:lncRNA from 1 species